AACGAACGCUGGCGGCAUGCCUAACACAUGCAAGUCGAACGAGACCUUCGGGUCUAGUGGCGCACGGGUGCGUAACGCGUGGGAAUCUACCCUCAGGUUCGGAAUAACUCAGAGAAAUUUGAGCUAAUACCGGAUGAUGACUUAAGUCCAAAGAUUUAUCGCCUGAGGAUGAGCCCGCUUAGGAUUAGGUAGUUGGUGAGGUAAAGGCUCACCAAGCCGACGAUCCUUAGCUGGUCUGAGAGGAUGAUCAGCCACACUGGGACUGAGACACGGCCCAGACUCCUACGGGAGGAAGCAGUGGGGAAUAUUGGACAAUGGGCGAAAGCCUGAUCCAGCAAUGCCGGGUGAGUGAUGAAGGCCUUAGGGUUGUAAAGCUCUUUUACCCGGGAUGAUAAUGACAGUACCGGGAGAAUAAGCGCCGGCUAACUACGUG
rnacentral:rRNA from 1 species